ensembl:lncRNA CCDC144BP coiled-coil domain containing 144B, pseudogene
AACUCUACAAGAGGAACAGAUGUGAAGGAUAUUCCCUUUAAUUUGACAAAUAACAUACCUGGUUGUGAGGAAGAAGAUGCAUCUGAAAUAUCUGUCUCAGUGGUAUUCGAGACAUUUCCUGAACAAAAAGAACCCAGUCUCAAAAAUAUCAUCCAUCCAUACUAUCAUCCGUACUCUGGGUCCCAGGAACAUGUUUGCCAGUCAUCUUCUAAGCUUCAUUUACAUGAAAAUAAAUUAGACUGCGACAAUGAUAACAAACUAGGCAUUGGACAUAUUUUUAGUACAGAUAACAACUUUCAUAAUGAUGCAAGCACUAAGAAAGCAAGGAACCCAGAAGUGGUUACGGUUGAAAUGAAAGAAGACCAAGAGUUUGAUUUGCAAAUGACAAAAAAUAUGAACCAAAAUAGUGACAGUGGCAGUACAAAUAACUAUAAAAGCCUGAAACCUAAAUUAGAAAAUCUGAGUUCUUUACCACCAGAUUCUGACAGAACAUCAGAAGUAUAUCUACAUGAAGAAUUACAGCAAGACAUGCAAAAGUUUAAGAAUGAGGUCAACACAUUAGAAGAAGAGUUCCUGGCUUUGAAGAAAGAAAAUGUUCAACUUCAUAAAGAGGUUGAAGAAGAAAUGGAGAAGCACAGAAGUAAUAGCACAGAAUUAUCAGGAACCCUAACUGAUGGUACUACUGUUGGCAAUGAUGAUGAUGGACUAAAUCAGCAGAUUCCUAGGAAGGAAAAUGAAGAGCAUGACAGGCCUGCAGAUAAAACAGCUAAUGAAAAGAACAAGGUCAAAAACCAAAUAUAUCCUGAGGCUGACUUUGCUGACUCAAUGGAGCCAUCUGAAAUAGCCUCAGAGGAUUGUGAAUUGUCUCACUCUGUUUAUGAGAAUUUUAUGUUGCUGAUUGAACAACUUAGAAUGGAGUAUAAAGGCAAGAAGGUAAAUCAGUACUUGCUGUCCAUUGUGGCCAGAAGCAGAUUCCAGCAGAGCUUCAGCACC